rnacentral:rRNA from 1 species
ACGGAAGGCAGCAGUGAGGAAUAUUGGUCAAUGGGCGGAAGCCUGAACCAGCCAAGUCGCGUGAGGGAAGACGGCCCUACGGGUUGUAAACCUCUUCUGCGCGGGGGUAAAGUCGGGGACGGGUCCCCGAUUGCAAGUACCGCGCGAAAAAGGAUCGGCUAACUCCGUGCCAGCAGCCGCGGUAAUACGGAGGAUCCGAGUGUUAUCCGGAUUUAUUGGGUUUAAAGGGAGCGCAGGCGGCCUGUUAAGCGUGUGGUGAAAUGUAGUCGCUCAACGUCUGCACUGCCACGCGAACUGGCGGGCUUGGGUGCGGUGAACGCUGGCGGAAUUCGUGGUGUAGCGGUGAAAUGCUUAGAUAUCACGAAGAACUCCGAUUGCGAAGGCAGCUGGCGGUACCGUUACCGACGCUCAUGCUCGAAAGUGUGGGUAUCGAACAGGAUUAGAUACCCUGGUA